rnacentral:lncRNA from 1 species
CCAAUUCUCAGCUCCUCCGCCAGACAACUCACCAGAUAAAACCUUUGCAUUUGCAGCAGAAAGUGAAGCACCUUAAGAUUAAAGGUAGAAAUUCCAGGGACUAAUAUUGAGAUGAACCAGGCAUGGAGACCAAGCUGCAAAAUUCCAGAAAUGACCUCCAGGUUGUUAGUCUACAACCCAGCCAUCGUCAAGAUAACAUUAGACUGCGUUCCAGGUGGACCAUGACUCAAGAUAGCCACCAGACCAAGGCACGGACACCUAGCACCCAGCACCACUCCUGCAUGCCUCCCACUCUAAGUUCCCCUUUAUAAACACCUCUCCACAGUCGAAAGUUUGAAAUCGUCUUUUAAGGGCAUGAGCUUGGCCAUUCCCAGAUCUUGGCAUUUGAAUAAAGUAGCUCUCUGUUCAUCAC